CAGGACGAACGCUGGCGGCGUGCCUAAUACAUGCAAGUGGAACGCAGUAGUGAUCACCGGAGCUUGCUCCACCGAUUAGUACUGAGUCGCGAACGGGUGAGUAACGCGUAGGUAACCUGCCUUGAAGAGGGGGAUAACUAUUGGAAACGAUAGCUAAUACCGCAUAAAAUAGCGAGUUGCAUGACUGGCUAUUGAAAGGUGCAAUCGCAUCACUUCAAGAUGGACCUGCGUUGUAUUAGCUAGUUGGUAGGGUAACGGCCUACCAAGGCGACGAUACAUAGCCGACCUGAGAGGGUGAUCGGCCACACUGGGACUGAGACACGGCCCAGACUCCUACGGGAGGCAGCAGUAGGGAAUCUUCGGCAAUGGGGGGAACCCUGACCGAGCAAACCGCCGCGUGAGUGAAGAAGGUUUUCGGAUCGUAAAGCUCUGUUGUAAGAGAAGAACGGUAGGAAGAGUGGAAAGUUUCCUACGUGACGGUAACUUACCAGAAAGGGACGGCUAACUACGUGCCAGCCGCGGC
rnacentral:rRNA from 1 species